rnacentral:rRNA from 1 species
UACGGAGAGUUUGAUCCUGGCUCAGAACGAACGCUGGCGGCGUGGAUUAGGCAUGCAAGUCGAACGGGAUGUCGUCCGUAGCAAUACGGGUGGCGUCUAGUGGCGGAAGGGUGAGUAACGCGCGGGCAAUCUGCCCUUGAGUUGGGGAUAACACUCCGAAAGGAAUGCUAAUACCGAAUGUGAUCGCUUCAGACAUCUGAGGCUAUUCAAAGCCGGGGAUCGUAAGACCUGGCGCUCGAGGAUGAGCCCACGUACUAUCAGCUAGUUGGUGAGGUAACGGCUCACCAAGGCUAAGACGGUUAGCUGGUCUGAGAGGAUGGUCAGCCACACUGGGACUGAGACACUGCCCAGACUCCUACGGGAGGCUGCAGUCGAGGAUCAUUCGCAAUGGGCGCAAGCCUGACGGUGCGACGCCGCGUGCAGGAUGAAGGCCUUCGGGUUGUAAACUGCUGUCAUGAGGGAGCAACGGCCAAAGCGCUAAUACCGCUGUGGAGUGAUAGUACCUCAGGAGGAAGCCACGGCUAACUCUGUGCCAGCAGCCGCGGUAAUACAGAGGCGGCAAGCGUUGUUCGGAUUUACUGGGCGUAAAGGGUGCGUAGGCGGUUCGGUGUGUCGGAUGUGAAAGCCCACAGCUCAACUGUGGAACGGCAUUCGAAACUAUCGGGCUAGAGUACAGGAGAGGAGAGCGGAAUUCUUGGUGUAGCAGUGAAAUGCGUAGAUAUCAAGAAGAACACCGGUGGCGAAGGCGGCUCUCUGGACUGAUACUGACGCUGAGGCACGAAAGCUGGGGGAGCAAACAGGAUUAGAUACCCUGGUAGUCCCAGCCCUAAACGGUGUGCACUUGAUGUUGGUGGGAUUGUCCCCGCCAGUGUCGGAGCUAACGUGUUAAGUGCACCGCCUGGGGAGUACGGUCGCAAGAUUAAAACUCAAAGGAAUUGACGGGGGCCCGCACAAGCGGUGGAGCAUGUGGCUCAAUUCGAUGCAACGCGAAGAACCUUACCUGGGUUUGACAUGUAACUGCACGCCCGAGGAAACUCGGGAAGCCUUCGAGGGUGUUACACAGGUGCUGCAUGGCUGUCGUCAGCUCGUGCCGUGAGGUGUUAGGUUAAGUCCUGCAACGAGCGCAACCCUUGUGACUAGUUGCCACUCUUGAGUAAAAUCGAGACGCACUCUAGUCAGACUGCCUGUGAUAAGCAGGAGGAAGGUGGGGAUGACGUCAAGUCAGUAUGGUCCUUAUAUCCAGGGCUGCACACGUGCUACAAUGAUUGGUACAGAGGGAAGCCAAACCGCAAGGUGGAGCAAAUCUCAUAAAACCAAUCUCAGUUCAGAUUGGAGUCUGCAACUCGACUCCAUGAAGCUGGAAUCGCUAGUAAUGGCGCAUCAGCUACGGCGCCGUGAAUACGUUCCCGGGCCUUGUACACACCGCCCGUCACAUCAUGGGAGCCGACUGCACCCGAUAUCGCCGAUCCAACCCGCAAGGGAGGUAGGCGCCUAAGGUGUGGUUGGUGACUGGGAUGAAGUCGUAACAAGGUAGCCGUAGGGGAACCUGCGGCUGGAUCACCUCCUUUCUA